rnacentral:rRNA from 1 species
GACGAACGCUGGCGGCGUGCUUAACACAUGCAAGUCGAACGGAAAGGCCCUGCUUUUGUGGGGUGCUCGAGUGGCGAACGGGUGAGUAACACGUGAGUAACCUGCCCUUGACUUUGGGAUAACUUCAGGAAACUGGGGCUAAUACCGGAUAGGAGCUCCUGCUGCAUGGUGGGGGUUGGAAAGUUUCGGCGGUUGGGGAUGGACUCGCGGCUUAUCAGCUUGUUGGUGGGGUAGUGGCUUACCAAGGCUUUGACGGGUAGCCGGCCUGGGAGGGGGACCGGCGACAUUGGGACUGAGAUACGGCCCAGACUCCUACGGUAGGCAGCAGGGGGGAAUAUUGCACAAUGGGCGCAAGCCUGAUGCAGCAACGCCGCGGGCGGGAUGACGGCCUUCGGGUUGUAAACCGCUUUCGCCUGUGACGAAGCGUGAGUGACGGUAAUGGGUAAAGAAGCACCGGCUAACUACGUG